rnacentral:tmRNA from 1 species
GGGAUCGUAAGGGUUUCGACGUGUUAGUAGAAGCUAUCCCUUGAUGCAGGUCGAGAGCGGGCUAUCUCUCGUAAAUCAAUGGCUCAAACAAGUACAUGCGAACAACAUUGUAUCUUUCUCUCGUAAAGCAGCUCCUGUAGCCGCCUAAGAACCUUUUCGGUUUCGAGGUGUGAUGUAUGACUCCGUUAAAUAUGUCACUCCAACCCCCAACGGAUGCUGCUUAUAACUUUCUCUGGUAGGUUAUUCGCUCAAGACUUUAUCAGUGCAUCUUUCGUUGCUAGAGAUAAUUAGCAAUUCCCUCCGUGAGGAUUAAAUCGGAUAAACCUGUGAAUGACUGGGAGGUUAGGCGCUAGUGCGGACGGCAGUUCGACUCUGCCCGAUUCCAUUA